rnacentral:rRNA from 1 species
UACAGAGGGUGCGAGCGUUGUCCGGAAUCACUGGGCGUAAAGGGCGCGUAGGUGGCGACCCAAGUCGAUGGUGAAAGCUCGCCGCUCAACGGCGAGUCGGCCACCGAUACUGGGUUGCUGGAGCACUGUAGAGGCAGAUGGAAUUCCGGGUGUAGCGGUGAAAUGCGCAGAUAUCGGGAAGAACACCCGUGGCGAAGGCGGCUCUCUGGGCCUUUCCUGACGCUGAGACGCGAAAGCGUGGGGAGCGAACCGG